GACAUAGGUGGCGAACGUUAUCCGGAAUUAUUGGGCGUAAAGAGUGCGUAGGUGGUUUAAUAAGUUACUGGUGGGAAAUCGGGGCUCAACCUCGUGGAAGUCAGUAAUACUUUUGAACUAGAGGGUCGGAGAGGUUAACGGAAUGGUUCAUGUAGGGGUAAAAUCCAUAAAUAUGAAUUGGAACACCAAUUGGCGAAGGCAGUUAACUAUUCGAAUCCUGACGUUGAGGCACGAAAGCGUGGGGAGCAAGACGGG
rnacentral:rRNA from 1 species